GAUGAACGCUGGCGGCGUGCCUAAUACAUGCAAGUCGAGCGAACUGAUUAGAAGCUUGCUUCUAUGACGUUAGCGGCGGACGGGUGAGUAACACGUGGGCAACCUGCCUGUAAGACUGGGAUAACUUCGGGAAACCGAAGCUAAUACCGGAUAGGAUCAUCUCCUUCAUGGGAGAUGAUUGAAAGAUGGUUUCGGCUAUCACUUACAGAUGGGCCCGCGGUGCAUUAGCUAGUUGGUGAGGUAACGGCUCACCAAGGCAACGAUGCAUAGCCGACCUGAGAGGGUGAUCGGCCACACUGGGACUGAGACUCGGCCCAGACUCCUACGGGAGGCAGCAGUAGGGAAUCUUCCGCAAUGGACGAAAGUCUGACGGAGCAACGCCGCGUGAGUGAUGAAGGCUUUCGGGUCGUAAAACUCUGUUGUUAGGGAAGAACAAGUACAAGAGUAACUGCUUGUACCUUGACGGUACCUAACCAGAAAGCCACGGCUAACUACGUGCCAGCCGCCGCGGUAAGAC
rnacentral:rRNA from 1 species